UGGGGAAUAUUGCACAAUGGGGGAAACCCUGAUGCAGCGACGCCGCGUGAAGGAUGAAGUAUUUCGGUAUGUAAACUUCUAUCAGCAGGGAAGAAAAUGACGGUACCUGACUAAGAAGCCCCGGCUAACUACGUGCCAGCAGCCGCGGUAAUACGUAGGGGGCAAGCGUUAUCCGGAUUUACUGGGUGUAAAGGGAGCGUAGACGGCUGUGCAAGUCUGGAGUGAAAACCCGGGGCUCAACCCCGGGAUUGCUUUGGAAACUGUGUAGCUGGAGUACCGGAGAGGCAAGUGGAAUUCCUAGUGUAGCGGUGAAAUGCGUAGAUAUUAGGAGGAACACCAGUGGCGAAGGCGGCUUGCUGGACGGUAACUGACGUUGAGGCUCGAAAGCGUGGGGAGCAAACAGG
rnacentral:rRNA from 2 species